AUGUUGAGUCCGUGGAUUAUACGCACUCUCACCCUUCCACCAUUGUUAGCUUUUCUAGUACCGCAACUUUCGCCGUGCAUUACACCCACCAUAUACCCUUCCUCAAAACAGCCACCAUACCUACCUAUUAUGGCAUUUCCAUGGCCAUUCCGAGAAAUAUUGCCAUGCAACUUCCACCGUUCCAUUUAUUAUGACACAUACCAUCAUUGUCAUAUUGCUCUACAUGAUCAUGUAGUUGGCAUAGUAUUUGUGGCUUGGCCACCAUUCAUAUUUUUUAUACAUGUCACUCUUGAUCAUCACACAUCCCGAUACACCGCCGGAGGCAUUCAUAUAGAAUCAUAUCUUUGUUCUAGUAUCGAGUUGUAA
rnacentral:rRNA from 1 species